UGGCGGGAUUCAGUGAC
rnacentral:rRNA from 1 species